UCCUAGUGGCUUAGAUGGUAAAGCAUCUGCCUGCAAUGCGGGACACCCGGGUUCAAUCCCUGGGUCAGGAA
rnacentral:tRNA from 1 species